GCCUUCGUAGUGUAAUGGUCAGCACACUCGGUGCGUAACCCGGAGGUCUGUGGUUCGAUUCCCGGCGAAAGCG
rnacentral:tRNA from 1 species